GGGGUGAGGCCAGAGGCAGUUGGACAGAGGAGCUCAGGCAGUUGUAACGCUGCUCCUUUUCAUUCUAAGGGAGAGUCUCCAGAAAGCAUCAGGAUUAUUCACAUCAGUGACUCUAAUAAUAACAAUUUGAACCUUAUAAAUCCUUUCUUCUCCGGAGCUCAGGAUACAGUCAAGUUUGUAAUAAAACACUCUCUCUCCACUCCACCCUAUGAUUUACAUACUCUAUGCAGUAUACACAGUUCCCAGUCGGCACGCUCCCUGGGUUUCGAGGCAGCAGAUCCUGCAAGUAGGACUCAUGUGAGCUACGCAGGCACCAGGGAAACACUGGACUGCUCUCCACGGCACCAGAAGCUGAGAAGUGAGCAGGGUCAGCAGUGCCAGGGAAAAUAGCCACCUGCGUCUUUUAAUACCUGAGGAGUGACUGGAUGAUUUCAGGAGAAAGGAAUUUAUCCCUGGGGGCUGCUCUGCAAGAUCCGUUCCUGCCUGUGCACUCGGCCAAGCUUUGUAUCUAGUCUCGAAGUCUCCUGGAAACCUAUCUGAUUCUAAGUCUCUGAAAACAUGUAAAAUGUAAAUAGAUAAAACAGCUCUUCCUCUGUUAGAGUUGUUCAGAUGGAAGAAUGGUAGGGUAUUAUCUUAGACUGUUUGAGAUGGAACUCAAUCUAAUGGUUUUCAAAUUUGUUUUAGUAUCAGAGCCCUUGAAAUGAAAUCCUAUGAAAAAGUUCCAUUAAUAUGUGGGCAGAAAGCAGAGCUGCUUCUAUUGAAGGAGAUUUCUGGUUGGCGAUGCCUCUCCAGGUUGUCAUACUUCCCACAUCCUCUCGUGUGACUUAAUUCUUUGAACCCCUAGAACCUAGAGAAGCAGAGAUAAUGAUUAAAUCAAUUCUUCCAUUUUAUGGAGGACAAAAAUGAGCCCCAGAGAGGUACUAAUUAUUUGAGUGCAAAGGCAGCAGUGCACAGAAAGAAAACUGAAGGUACUAAACAAAUUCAUGGUAGAGAAUGGAGUUUGGUUAAUGGUGUCUUCGGAGUUGGAUCAGUGAGUCAAGAAGAAAGGCAGAUUGGAAUGUGUGAGUGGUGAGAAGAAGGUUUACCUUAGAUCCGGAGAAGGAUUUCCAAGAGGAAGGGAUACAAACUUUGGAACUUUGAUGUCUCCUGCCUGGAAUUUGUAUAAUGUAGCAAAGCUGAUUCUCUGUCUAGAGAGAAUCAAAGCAAGCUUUGAAUUAUAGUCCUGCAUUGAGGUGGAGACCUUCAGCCCUCCCAGCCAUUAGUCAUCAUCGUCCCUGACAUUAUCAAACAUCCAUGAAAGGUCAUUACCAGUUAAACACAGAGGCGCAUUUCCCGCCGGACACCGUGAAGGUCAGUAGUUUAGACAGAAAACAACAUGGCAAUUUCCUGAUAAUUCAUGGGAGAAACAUUACCCAGUUUCAACCUGUAGAGGCUGCUUUUAGGCAACAGACUUGAGCAAUGGAAACGAGAGCAAGGCCAAAGGGCCCACAGUGACCACUGAACAGAAUACAAACAGGGCUCAUAAAGCAACCCACCUCAAAAUAGUCAUAGACUCUAACCGACCAGUUACAACCAGGCACAGUUUUUAAGAUUACAGAAAAAAAGGGAAAAUUCCAUACAUCCCCAUACUCCUUCACUCCGCCCUAUAACUGCGGCCUCUCCCCCCUGCCUUGUGGCACACAGUCUCUCCUUUGCUGUCCUGCCCGCCACUCCCUUGCAGGGGUGUAUUCAAUAAACUUCUAUCUCUUUUGUUCUGCCUUGGAUGA
ensembl:lncRNA